rnacentral:rRNA from 1 species
UAAGGAAUAUUGGUCAAUGGACGCAAGUCUGAACCAGCCAUGCCGCGUGAAGGAUGAAGGUCCUCUGGAUUGUAAACUUCUUUUAUCUGGGACGAAAACGGGAUUUUUAUCUCAAUUGACGGUACCAGAGGAAUAAGCACCGGCUAACUCCGUGCCAGCAGCCGCGGUAAUACGGAGGGUGCGAGCGUUAUCCGGAUUUACUGGGUUUAAAGGGUGCGUAGGUGGGCUUAUAAGUCAGUGGUGAAAUCUCCGAGCUUAACUUGGAAACUGCCGUUGAUACUAUAGUUCUUGAAUUAUCUGGAGGUAAGCGGAAUAUGUCAUGUAGCGGUGAAAUGCUUAGAUAUGACAUAGAACACCAAUUGCGAAGGCAGCUUACUACAUAUAAAUUGACGCUGAGGCACGAAAGCGUGGGGAUCAAACA